rnacentral:lncRNA from 1 species
UAACUCAUGCUUAAAGAUGAAACACAAGCCCCACCUUUAUUUCUCUUUGGGUCUCUGUAUUGAGCACAUUCCUCAUCCUUUACCAGUUUUUCCCCAGGUUUUCCUCCCUGCCUCAUAGAAAGCUGAUUUCAGGUUGAAAGCAGGAAGAAAAGUGCCCAAGAUCAAGCAGGUCAACUUUUGAUCAUUUUGGCUGCUUGCAACAAACACUUGGCAGAAGGGGAUAGCACUCAGAUAUGCUGCACUCCUAUUAUUUCUGUGAAUUCUUGUCUCUGCUUUAAGGAGAGAGAAACCUCAUUAGCUUGCAGGGAAAAGCAGCAGAAGAGCUUCAACCACAGCAGGCACAAAGGGUGCCUACAGAUGUUGUUACAGCCCUGCCACAGCUGCAUCUCAUGUUUUAUUGGACUCUGGAGUCUCCAGUCACAAGACAGGCAACCCCAGGCAGCUCAGCUCUGCCUCUCUGUUUGUUCUUGAAGUUACUUGUUUUUAAACCUCACUAGGUACACAUCAGAUGCCAACAUGAGAAACUCAGCCCACAGCCCAGGAGUUAUGAACCACAUCAGCAAAACACUCUUCUUUCGCUCACAUAUCUCUUCUGAACUCCAGCAGUCUGAGCCCAACACAGCAUUUCUGUAGAUCAGUCCUGACACCACUGAGCUGCAUCAUCAACCAUUUCCUAUCUGGAUUUCUGAAAACCCUUUGAUGGCAGCAAGUGCCAGGGACCAAGCAGCAUAAACCAAGGGGCAGCCAUGCACUGGAGCACUGCUGGGUGCUGCCAGCUGCACUGUAGGCUGUUGCUAAAUCCUGCACUGCCCUUGGGUAAGGAGUUUACUCAAUCAGUAGUUGAUUAAGACAUCUCCAGGGCACAUUUAAAGGGAUAUAGGUGUCAGGACACAACAACAAACACAGUUUUUAAUCCUGGGCUGGGCUGGGCUGGGCAGGAAGCACUUAGAAUCACAGGACUGUUAGGGUUGCAAAAGACCUCUAAGAUAAUCACCCAACACUGCCAAGUCCUCCAGCAAACCAUGUCAUUGAGUGC